GCCCAGCCCUUGGACCUGCACGGCCCUUCCCGUGCAGUGGCUGCGUUCUCCCUUCGAUCCCCGCUGGAGAUGCGUCGGCGGCGCGCGCUCCAUAGGGAGGAUCCCGGCGUCAUCCCCCACAGUCAAGCGCUCGGAGACAUGUGAACAUGAGGAGGAAGGCCGGAUGGCAUGGCAGUACAUCGCGGAGCUCGAUGACACAGCGGCGGGAGGACCGUGGCGGCGCGGCGUUUCCGCUGGCAGAGGCGGCUCGGAGCUCGCUGGCGCAUCGAUGGGAUACAUCGACUGAUUUCUUGGCUCGGAGCUCGCUGGCUGGCGCAUCCUGCGCCGACAUGUGGGCGUCACUCAAACCUUCCAUUUUUCCCCUCGCUGUCCCAUCUCAAACCUCACGACCUAUCUCGCCCAUCGCUAAAAUUCAGCCGCCACCCACUCUCCUCGCCAGCAGCAGCCUCCUGCUCGCAUCCUCCGCCCGCCGCAGCCUACCGACCCGUGUUAGCUUCUCGCCUCCACCACCGCCGGCGAGGCCUAGCCUGCUCCUCCUAGGGUCUCCUACCGUCCUCCGCGCCCCGAUCCUGCUGCCCACCGCCCCGAUUCGCGUCGUCGUCAUGCCUCUACUGCUCGGAUCUCGCAGGGUGAUCUGAUCCCUGGAAACGAGUGAGGAGGGCCGGUCUGAUUCGGGCGUCUUGGAGCUGCUCGGACAGGAGAUCCGUCCGAUCCGGACCCUGUGUUGAUUUGUUUUGUCAGUGAGGAAUCCUGCCCUGCUUGAUUGUUUUCCGGUUGAUAUCUUGGAUGGAGCGUUUGGAAUCGGCCCUCGCAGGCUCCGCAACCGACACUCAAAUACCACCUGAUCUCCGCCCAUUGACGUCGAGGGCACACUGUGCCGGGACAAGUCUGAGCUGGGCAGGGAGGGUAAGGAGUUGGUCUGAAUUUUUCAAUAUUGUCACUUAUCAGUGAAUCAUUACUGUUACAUUGCUUUUACAAAGUGAAUGAAACUGAUGUGUUCACCUUGAUACAAAAUACAUGGUUUGACAAUAUGUUUCUUGUACAACAUUGCAUGAGGGCUGAUAGCCUGGCUCCGUUGGCUUCAUCGGAGCGUAAGCAUCACAGUUGAGGGGAUUCCUCCACAAACGUUACAUCCAAAUCAAGCUACUGCUCUUGAGAAAGAUUGAUGCAUCGUUACUUGGUGCUUCUCUAUGAUUUGCAGAUGUACGAUGCUAAGUAGAAAGAAAUUUGGUUUCUCUUUUUGAUGUGAAAAAUCAGUGCAGUUGUCUUUGUGCCUGGCCGAUACGGAUCUUAUUUUAUGGAUCCAGUGUGAGGGAUUAUUCGUACUAUAGCAAGUCCGGCAAGUUGGCCGAGCCAUAGGUGCCUGCAAAUCUAUGAGGUUGUGGUUGUAUUUGUGAUUAAAAGAUAUCUUGGCUCGAGCAUUCGAAAUCAGCCUAAACGGUGGAUGGUGGCUGAAUGGCAGGAGCGAGAAGAUGUCGGAGUGGCAGGCCGGUGAGGCUAUUGGUGCCCUGGAGCGCAUGCAAAAGCUUGUCAAAGUCGGAGUGGAUGGCACCAGAAGUCAUGCAUAAUGAAGGGAGCAUAUGCACCCUGGAGCCAAAACACCGCAUCCUCGAAGCUAUAAUAAACCAGCUAAUGAGAUGCAUCAGGUAUGGCGUCUACAAUUCUGAAGUAUUUGUAUGGGAAUUAGCUACAUUGUGUGUACCUUAGUUGUGUUCCAGAAUAGAUGACUAGACAUUACCAAAUAAGUUGACCCACGGGUCGCUAGCAUGAUAUAUUGAUGUUGGGACAACGAUCCAAUCAAACAACCAUCCUUUUUUCCAGCUCUUCUCGCCGCUAAAGAAAUUACAUCGCUUGUUCCUGAGAUGACGUCUGCAUAAUGCAAAAAACGGAAGAAAAAAACGAUGGUUUAUGCUAAUACAUGGGCCAAGUUUUUUUUGGUGAAGCCCAUGGAGAUGUAUUCAAGAUCUGCACUACGGUAAGGAUAAAGCUAGACAUUCUUUUGUGAAAAAUUAAAAACUGAAGCAGCACAAAGGUGUCUCGAGUGCAGUACUGCUCUCUUCAGUGUAUUUCGCGUUGGCCGUUGUCUUUGCCGCCGGUGGAGAAACUAAAAUACCGAUGCGCUAUUGUAAAGUUGUUUUUUAAAGUAGUAGCAUUAACGUUUUGAGAUGUAAAUAUGAAAUGAACUAUGGAAAUAGCAAAAUUCUUUUGAAGAGCAA